CUUCGGAUUGUAAACUCCUUUUAGAGGGGGAUGAAUGCCACCGUGAAUAACGGUGGGUGACAGUACUCUCUGAAUAAGCCACGGCUAACUACGUGC
rnacentral:rRNA from 1 species